UAUCCGGAAUUAUUGGGCGUAAAGGGCUCGUAGGCGGUUCGUCGCGUCCGGUGUGAAAGUCCAUCGCUUAACGGUGGAUCCGCGCCGGGUACGGGCGGGCUUGAGUGCGGUAGGGGAGACUGGAAUUCCCGGUGUAACGGUGGAAUGUGUAGAUAUCGGGAAGAACACCAAUGGCGAAGGCAGGUCUCUGGGCCGUCACUGACGCUGAGGAGCGAAAGCGUGGGGAGCGAACAGGAUUAGAUACCCUGGUAGUCCACGCCGUAAACGGUGGAUGCUGGAUGUGGGGACCAUUCCACGGUCUCCGUGUCGGAGCCAACGCGUUAAGCAUCCCGCCUGGGGAGUACGGCGCA
rnacentral:rRNA from 1 species